rnacentral:rRNA from 1 species
GACGUAGGGCGCGAGCGUUGUCCGGAAUUAUUGGGCGUAAAGAGCUUGUAGGCGGUUUGUCGCGUCUGCUGUGAAAUUUCGGGGCUCAACCCCGAACUUGCAGUGGGUACGGGCAGACUAGAGUGUGGUAGGGGAGACUGGAAUUCCUGGUGUAGCGGUGAAAUGCGCAGAUAUCAGGAGGAACACCGAUGGCGAAGGCAGGUCUCUGGGCCAUAACUGACGCUGAGAAGCGAAAGCAUGGGGAGCGAACAAG